ACAAAGAAGAAUAAAACAGUUACCUGUGGAGGACCUCGGCUGGAUGGAGGGGCCUGGGGAGGAUAUUGACCUUGACAAGAUUACAGUGUUCCCCUGAGAGAACAAGAAAGAACGAGAAGCAUGCCUGGG